rnacentral:lncRNA from 1 species
AUUUUUAGAGAAAUGAUUCGGUACUUUUUUAAAAAAAAAAUAAAAAAGAUCUUAACCGUUGAUUAAUAGAGGGUAAAAAUGUAACUUUAAUACUUAGCAGGUAAAAAAAUUAUUUUAUUCAAGGUUAGUUUGGUAAUUAAAUAAUACAAUAUUUAAAGAAACUUUUAUUUGAGGUCCUAAAUUUAUGCAUUAAUUAGCACUAAUUUAGGAAAUUAAUUGAUUAACCAAAUUUAUGCAAUUAUUAGGCAUUAAUUUAGGAAUCUACUUUAAAUGUUUUAGUGUUUCUCAAAUUAUACAUUAAUUUAAAUUAUAGAAAUUUUAGAAAUAGUUUUAUUUCUAAAUAUGAUGAAUUUAAAUUUUAAAAAUUAAAUAUUUAAAAUUUAAAAGUGAAAUUUAAAUUAGAGGAAUUUUAUAUUACUAUUUAAAAACUAAAAUUCUACCAAGAUUUAAAAUACAGUUUAUUCGCACCAGUUUAAAACGUAAUGCAUAAAAAACUUAGAGAGUAAGAUUUCUACAACUAGAUUUCUCUAGAGGAAUUUCAUAUUACUAUUUAAAUUUUAAAUUCAAUGAUUUAAAAACUAGAUUGAACCGAUUGAUUUGACUGAUCAGACUUUGACCUAUUCUAUCAAGAAUCUGAUUUUAACCUAUUGAACUGAAUAACACUAAGAACAAUUUCGAACCGGUAAAGAUAAUAAAUAUUUUAAAUAGAAUGAUAAUUUAACUGUUAGAGCUAAUAAAUAUUUUAAAUAUAAUUUUAAACAUAUAAAUUAAAAAGAUUAGAAUUAUUGGUGAGAAAAAAAAUAGUUAGGAAUUUGAAUUCGAAUCUGACUAACAAUCACAAAACUUAUUUCCGAACUCGACGGAUUUCAAAAAUCCAUAUCCAAAUUCAAAACUGACCAAUUUUUCGAAACCCAAAACCAAACCUAAACCAGAAGACUAGAAUUCAAACAAUUAUUUCUGUUUACCAUAUUUCAAAGUAUUUAUAUGAAACUUAAAUUUUUAAAAUAUAAAUUUGAAUAUAAUAUUAAAUUUUAAAUUUAAAAGUGAAAUUUAAAUUAGAGGAAUUUCAUAUUACUAUUUAAAGUUUAAAUUCAAUGAUCAUAUUGUCAAAUUAUUUGAAAUUUUUCUUAUAUGAAAUGCCAAAUUAUGAAAGGAAAGAUAGAGAGAGAAAAAGGAAACAAAAAAAAAAUAAAAAUUUUGAAAAUAUAAUAGAUGUAAAAUGACUAAAUUGUUCAUAUAUUAAAAAACAAAAAUAUCCUUUUUUGAGGUACCUGGUAACCGGUACCUCUCUUAAAGUGACCUACUAUUGCAGGUCACAAUUUUAAAAAAACUAAAUCUGAGCCGUUGAAUACGCGUGAAUGAACGGUAAUCAAAAAAAAAAAGUAUAGAAGCAUUACUCCUAUUUUUAUUUUAAGCUAAAUACUGAAAAUUCACUAAUCUGGAGAAAAUUCAAAUUAUUUAUAUGCCAAAUUAUUCAAACAAUACAUUCUAUACCUGUUAAGUCUAUGAUCCAAAGAGGUUCCAUCCCAGAGUUAAAAUCUUUUCUUCUGGGCUUAUAAUUUUUGAAUUGUAAUAUUAAAAAAAUAAACAAUGACAAGAUUAUAAGAGAAAAGAGCAUAAUAAAGUUUUUUGAGAGAUAGGUAGCACGCUAUCUGUUUCGUUUAUUUUAUUUUGAAAUAAACUUAGCUAGAAAUAUGAAUUAACUAGGAUUCGAACUUGGAUUUCGAGUACCAACCACGAAACUCUUUGCCACUUGCUUUAGGGACGGCCGGCUUUUUAUAAUUUCAUUCGAGUUAUAAGGCUAAUAUUACUCAAUAAGAAAAAUAUAUUGCUUC